GGCUCAUGGACUGGUUACACCGGAAAAAAAAUCACCGACGUUGUGAACAUCGGAAUCGGAGGAUCAGAUCUAGGACCACUCAUGGUCACCGAAUCGCUGAAAAACUACCAAAUCGGACCGAAUGUGCACUUCGUGUCGAACGUCGACGGAACCCACGUGGCAGAGGUCACAAAGAAGCUCAACGCCGAAACAACACUGUUCAUCAUUGCAUCAAAGACAUUCACAACUCAAGAAACAAUCACUAAUGCUGAAACAGCGAAAGAAUGGUUUUUGGCAAAAGCCGGAGAUGCUGGAGCAGUUGCUAAGCACUUUGUCGCACUUUCAACGAAUGUUACGAAAGCUGUUGAAUUCGGAAUUGAUGAGAAGAAUAUGUUUGAGUUCUGGGAUUGGGUUGGUGGGCGAUAUUCCCUUUGGUCAGCUAUUGGACUAUCAAUUGCUGUUCAUAUUGGAUUCGAUAACUAUGAGAAGCUUCUCGAUGGUGCAUUUUCUGUUGAUGAGCAUUUUGUGAAUACUCCAUUGGAAAAGAAUAUUCCAGUUAUUCUUGCAAUGAUUGGUGUACUCUAUAAUAAUAUCUAUGGUGCUGAGACUCAUGCUCUUCUUCCUUAUGAUCAAUAUAUGCAUCGAUUCGCCGCAUAUUUCCAACAGGGAGAUAUGGAGAGUAACGGGAAAUUUGUGACACGUCACGGACAACGUGUCGACUAUUCGACUGGACCAAUUGUUUGGGGAGAACCUGGAACUAAUGGACAACACGCAUUUUAUCAGUUGAUUCAUCAGGGUACUCGACUGAUUCCAGCGGAUUUUAUUGCUCCGGUUAAGACGUUGAAUCCGAUUCGUGGGGGAUUGCAUCAUCAG
rnacentral:sRNA from 1 species